rnacentral:rRNA from 1 species
AACGAACGCUGGCGGCAGGCCUAACACAUGCAAGUCGAACGCCCCUUUCGGGGGGAGUGGCAGACGGGUGAGUAACGCGUGGGAACGUGCCCUUCGGUUCGGAAUAACUCAGGGAAACUUGAGCUAAAACCGGAUACGCCCUUUGGGGGAAAGAUUUAUUGCCGAAGGAUCGGCCCGCGUCCGAUUAGCUAGUUGGUGAGGUAACGGCUCACCAAGGCGACGAUCGGUAGCUGGUCUGAGAGGAUGAUCAGCCACACUGGGACUGAGACACGGCCCAGACUCCUACGGGAGGCAGCAGUGGGGAAUCUUGCGCAAUGGGCGAAAGCCUGACGCAGCCAUGCCGCGUGAAUGAUGAAGGUCUUAGGAUUGUAAAAUUCUUUCACCGGGGACGAUAAUGACGGUACCCGGAGAAGAAGCUCCGGCUAACUUCGUGCCAGCCGCCGCCGUAAUAC